GAUGAACGCUGGCGGCGUGCCUAAUACAUGCAAGUCGAGCGAACGGACGAGAAGCUUGCUUCUCUGAUGUUAGCGGCGGACGGGUGAGUAACACGUGGAUAACCUACCUAUAAGACUGGGAUAACUUCGGGAAACCGGAGCUAAUACCGGAUAAUAUUUUGAACCGCAUGGUUCAAAAGUGAAAGACGGUCUUGCUGUCACUUAUAGAUGGAUCCGCGCUGCAUUAGCUAGUUGGUAAGGUAACGGCUUACCAAGGCAACGAUGCAUAGCCGACCUGAGAGGGUGAUCGGCCACACUGGAACUGAGACACGGUCCAGACUCCUACGGGAGGCAGCAGUAGGGAAUCUUCCGCAAUGGGCGAAAGCCUGACGGAGCAACGCCGCGUGAGUGAUGAAGGUCUUCGGAUCGUAAAACUCUGUUAUUAGGGAAGAACAUAUGUGUAAGUAACUGUGCACAUCUUGACGGUACCUAAUCAGAAAGCCACGGCUAACUACGUGCCAGCAGCCGCGGUAAUACGUAGGUGGCAAGCGUUAUCCGGAAUUAUUGGGCGUAAAGCGCGCGUAGGCGGUUUUUUAAGUCUGAUGUGAAAGCCCACGGCUCAACCGUGGAGGGUCAUUGGAAACUGGAAAACUUGAGUGCAGAAGAGGAAAGUGGAAUUCCACGUGUAGCGGUGAAAUGCGCAGAGAUGUGGAGGAACACCAGUGGCGAAGGCGACUUUCUGGUCUGUAACUGACGCUGAUGUGCGAAAGCGUGGGGAUCAAACAGGAUUAGAUACCCUGGUAGUCCACGCCGUAAACGAUGAGUGCUAAGUGUUAGGGGGUUUCCGCCCCUUAGUGCUGCAGCUAACGCAUUAAGCACUCCGCCUGGGGAGUACGACCGCAAGGUUGAAACUCAAAGGAAUUGACGGGGGCCCGCACAAGCGGUGGAGCAUGUGGUUUAAUUCGAAGCAACGCGAAGAACCUUACCAAAUCUUGACAUCCUUUGACAACUCUAGAGAUAGAGCCUUCCCCUUCGGGGGACAAAGUGACAGGUGGUGCAUGGUUGUCGUCAGCUCGUGUCGUGAGAUGUUGGGUUAAGUCCCGCAACGAGCGCAACCCUUAAGCUUAGUUGCCAUCAUUAAGUUGGGCACUCUAAGUUGACUGCCGGUGACAAACCGGAGGAAGGUGGGGAUGACGUCAAAUCAUCAUGCCCCUUAUGAUUUGGGCUACACACGUGCUACAAUGGACAAUACAAAGGGCAGCGAAACCGCGAGGUCAAGCAAAUCCCAUAAAGUUGUUCUCAGUUCGGAUUGUAGUCUGCAACUCGACUACAUGAAGCUGGAAUCGCUAGUAAUCGUAGAUCAGCAUGCUACGGUGAAUACGUUCCCGGGUCU
rnacentral:rRNA from 1 species